GAUGAAGAACGCAGCGAAAUGCGAUAAGUAAUGUGAAUUGCAGAAUCCAGUGAAUCAUCGAAUCUUUGAACGCACAUUGCGCCCGCCAGCAUUCUGGCGGGCAUGCCUGUUCGAGCGUCAUUUCAACCCUCGACCUCCCUUUGGGGAAGUCGGCGUUGGGGACCGGCAGCACACCGCCGGCCCUGAAAUGGAGUGGCGGCCCGUCCGCGGCGACCUCUGCGUAGUAAACCAACUCGCACCGGAACCCCGACGUGGCCACGCCGUAAAACACCCAACUUCUGAACGUUGACCUCGAAUCAGGUAGGACUACCCACUGAACUUAAGCAUAUCAAUAAGCGGAGGA
rnacentral:misc_RNA from 1 species